CAGUCUGGCUUGUCCAGACUGGAUUGUUCCUGGUAAAUUCCCCUUUAUUCCCUCGUAAAACAAUAAAGACACAACAGGCUUCUUUAAAAGUAAUGAUAAGAAGUUUACUUACAUUCAGUUCCCAGUAUGAUCCUGAAGGCAGGCUUUAGCUUGUAGUUACAGAAGAGAGUGUGAGUUAAUCCCAUAUGAGGAUUAAGCCCAUGUGCUGCUGGCUGAGAGCCAGCAGACAGCAAAAUACAUCAAGAUCAGAAGAGAGCAGCAAAAGAGAGGAAGAUAGCUGUGUGACUGGCCCCUUUACAGGGUCUCACAGGGUCACACCCAUCACCCUGGUCACACGCAGGGGGAGAAUGCUCCAGACGGGUCUGACAGGAAGUCCUGCUGCCUGGAGUAACACCCCUCUGUGUGUCCACUCUGGGCAAACAGGAAAUGUUGUACUUGACUGCUACAGUGAUGUCAUAUCCCACAGAUUACACACGGGGGUUUGAAGGUUUUUAUUCCUAGCCCUAGCUGGAUAUUUUUCAAAUAAGCAAUUAUUGUACCAUAUAAAGUUAUCCACCUUCCAGCCAUCUUUUGAUAUUUAAUUAAAAAAAACCCUCUUUUUAUUUUCAUAUAUCAGGUGGCAUGGGGAAAAACAACCAAGCCAGUACACAUAAAUCAAAGGGGAGGGAGUACAUUUUCCAGACUUUCUAGGUAGCCUGCAAAAUAAAUUUUCACAAAUAGAUGCUUACAACUAAGGAUGGAUGGAUCGGUCUAUUUAUGGUCUGUGCAAAUUUCACAUGUGUUCAUGCAUAUGUUCAAUUCCAUUUCUGCAAUAAUCUGUCAUGAUGAUAAUUAAAAUCCAAGCCAAAAAAACGCAUAUUUAAAUGCACAUUUAAAUAAACAUGUAUAAUAAUAUUUACAUGUGCAUUUUAUCACAAAAUGCUGUAGUUUUGGAUUUAAUUGCAGUUACGCAUUUCUAAACAUAUUUUAUCCUAAAAUAUACAUUUCAGUGUAUUUUUAGUCAGUAUUUGUAUUGCAAAAUUCACAGACGUGUGAAGUUUGAAGAAUAGUUAUGCUCUUAAGAGUUUAUUAAAAUCAUUCAACUCAUGGCAAGU